CAUCCGUUUGGUUUAUGCUUGCGUGAUAUCUGUAUUGUAGGAUCUCGAGUUCGUCCAGUUCCGUCCUACAGUCAUAUAUGGUGCUGGAUGCCUCAUCACAGGAAGAUGUCAUUGCAGCCAAAGAACCAAGUAGGUGAUGGAGCUUGUGGAAAAUGGAUAUAUGUACAAGAGCAUGUGAUAGAAUAUAUGAAUAUCCUGGCCAGCUAGCUACGUUAGUUUUCUCCCUUCCAUGGCAAGUGGCAACAGACCAGUUCCAUAGCACCUUGGUUGGGUGGUGAGGUUGAGAUGUCGCGCGGCAGAGUAGCCAACCAAGGCCUAUUAUUUUUGCAGUCCUAUUGAGGUCUGCCGACAGGUUCAGACUUUCCAGUCAAGGAAUUUAUGCAUUUUCUUCAUGAAACAUACAUCCUGUGGUGAGGGGCUCUCCCCCAUCUCCCGUGUUUCCCCUCUGCAAUUUCCUUAUUUCCACAACUCCUCUUCCGCGUUCGGAUUGGGUUAGGUGUAACACACUCAUCUUGCAAGCUUUCUUCGAUCUGGAGAAUGGCAACCAGGAGCUCAAGAGCGACCUAAGGACCUCUGCAUCAACACCGCGAUCCAGUUGGAUAUCGUCGGGAACAGGAAGGCCGUGGAACCACGUGCCCUGCCGCCUACACAAGGCCUUCAGGAAGAUCCAUGCUAGGCUCGUGAGGGAGCUCGAGAAGAAGUUCAGCGGCAAGAUCAUCCUCUGCAUUAAAUGCACCAGUUCAUUCAAUUUAACACUUGGUUGUUUUGGUCUUGAGACUUCAAUUGAGCAGAAAGCUCUUGGUGGUGGCUUUGGGGCAAUAUUUACCAUCUUCAUUCAUCUAAACAGUCAAGCUCUUGUGCUCUCUAAAUUUUGUCGAUUAGUAUCUGACAUAUCUUUACGAUGGUCAUAUGCAGUAGUAUACAUAUGUAACACCUCUAUCGUUUAUUGAGGAGGUUCUUAGACCACUAAAUAUGUCAGCAUCAAAUGGGAAGUGGAUCGAUGGGCUCCAGUUCUCAUCUCUGUUCUGCCCUGGCACAUGAUGUGCAGCAGAAACAGGCACAAACUUUGGUCUAUGUUGAGUGCUUUGGUCAGCUUACAUGUGAGAGCGAGCAAUUUCCGAAGGAUGUAGCUCAGCUCAUUUAGAGUUGAUAUCCAUCAAAUGAAAAACGUUUGGUAGCUGAAGUAUCAAGUAAAAUAUGACUUCUGCAUGACCAUGCUGUUGUACUCCAAUUCAUUCACGCAUCAUAGAUGGGAUACACUGAGUUCUGGAGACCCGUCUUGGGCUCUGCUCGGAGAUCGCCUCCGCAAUGCUGAGCCACGACCGUAGGCUUGCAGUGGUGGGGUUUGCCGUGGUUGGUCUGGUCCUGGCAAGGUGUCAACACUGACGAUCUCACCAUCUCUGUACAAGCCUGAGCUAAACAAGGCAUCCCUGCUCUCUGGCUGACCUGCAACCUCACGUGAUGUAGUGUCUGCUCCUCUCAAAGGUGUCAUGUUAUUUCAUGAAAUAAUUUGUCUUAGGCUAAUGGUUCACUUCAGUUUUGAUCUCUUUAUAUUUCGUAGAAUAUCUUAGGCUAACGUCUUGGUGGAGACUGAUGUAGCCUGCUAUGUUGAUUCUGAAAUAGAUUUAUACAUGAAUGCUAAAGCUCCAUGGUAAAUCAUGGUUUUGUCUUU